UACGUAGGGUGCAAGCGUUAUCCGGAAUUAUUGGGCGUAAAGAGCUCGUAGGCGGUUUGUCGCGUCUGCUGUGAAAAACUGGAGGCUCAACCUCCAGCCUGCAGUGGGUACGGGCAGACUAGAGUGCGGUAGGGGAGAUUGGAAUUCCUGGUGUAGCGGUGGAAUGCGCAGAUAUCAGGAGGAACACCGAUGGCGAAGGCAGAUCUCUGGGCCGUAACUGACGCUGAGGAGCGAAAGCGUGGGGAGCGAACAG
rnacentral:rRNA from 1 species